GAAUAGGUGGUAAUAAAACCCAAUGGCCGGUAAGAAAUCACGAUGGCAUUUGUUCUUUCUUCCCCCGGGGGGGGGAGAGAAUUUGGCCCUUUGCCUUUAUUUUAAACAGCUUAAUGAAAAAGACCCCUGCCCUUUAAAACUUUUUUCAUCUACCCAUCUUUUUUUCAUUAUUCCAACUUUAUGCUUACUCUGUAAACCACGUGCAAUUUUUUUCUCUCACUGAUCAAUAUCUCACCUACCACAUUCCACAUCCAGACAGAGCUUUUACAGCUUUAGCAGCUCACCUCUUCUUCUCUGCUGCUUGUCUUCUGUUGAUGUUCUUCCCCAACGUCCGUCCGUCUACAACCCCAUCGCUUCCAAUCAGCUCCCUCUGGCUGUAAUCAGCGAUAUUUACCUUCUAGACUUCGUGGAUCCGUCUGGGUUUGUUCAGGAAAUCUCUUCCAAGGUCAGCAGAGUGGUGGUUUCAGAUCACUACAAGACUGCAGCAGAUUGCAGUGAGAGUUCUUGUUCAGUUGGUGAGAAUGUGGAGAGGGUUAUUGACAUCCGGAGGAGUGGUGCUACUAUUGUUUUUGAUUAUUUCAAGGAAAGAGCUGGUAGUGGUCUAAAAGAUUUGAAUUUUGUUUUGAUGAGGGUUUGAUCUUUGAAUCCAUCUUCUUUCAAGCGGGAUGUAAUUAGUCAGGGAUUAACCAGCUUAUCCUAGAAGCAGGAAUGAUUCUCUCGGCCAAUCAUAUGAGAUUGCUCUUGUGGCUGGAGCAUUUGGAGAUUGCCUGGCUAUGAAAGCUGAUUCUAUAUUGGAGUUGAGGAGUGAACUUGGACAUAAAUUAGCCAACAAAAGCUGUAAUCUAAAGUUGAGGUGUUGAGGCUCAGCAGACAGAACUGUGAAAUUCUGGGAUUUGGAAACCUUCGAACUGAUUGGAUAUACAAGCCUCGGAGUCACAGCAUUCGACGUCUACUUGGUGAGUGAGCAAGUCUGCAGCCGAAGAGAGCUUGGGAGAGAGAAGAGAAAGAGAGAGAGAGCAGGUCUGCAGCUGGUGUUCUUUCUUAUAUUUUUUAUCAUUAAAGAAUGUUGCACUCAACAUGUUCUAUGGUGCAAUACAUUGUUAAAAAAUAAUUGUAAAUUUUGAUGAUUUGUGAAAGAAAAAUUUAAACGCAAUUUUGAUGAUAAUUAAAAAUAUCCUCACCUUAAAAGCA